rnacentral:rRNA from 1 species
GCCCGUCCCGCCGCCCCCGCCCGCCUACGGGAGGCAGCAGUGGGGAAUUUUGGACAAUGGGGGCAACCCUGAUCCAGCAAUGCCGCGUGAGUGAAGAAGGCCUUCGGGUUGUAAAGCUCUUUUGUCAGGGAAGAAACGGCUGUGGCUAAUAUCCACGGCUAAUGACGGCACCUGAAGAAUAAGCACCGGCUAACUACGUGCCAGCAGCCGCGGUAAUACGUAGGGUGCAAGCGUUAAUCGGAAUUACUGGGCGAAAAGCGUGCGCAGGCGGUUUUGUAAGUCUGACGUGAAAUCCCCGGGCUUAACCUGGGAAUUGCGUUGGAGACUGCAAGGCGAGUAUGUCAGAGGGGGGUAGACUUCCACGUGUAGCAGUGAAAUGCGUAGAGAUGGGGAGGAACACCGAUGGCGAAGGCAGCCCUCUGGGUCAAGAUUGACGCUCAUGCGCGAAAGCGUGGGGAGCACACAGGAAUAGAUACACUGGUGGUCCACGCCCUACACGAUGUGUACUAGUUGUCGGGUAUUAAUUGACUUGGUCAACGCAGCUAACGCGUGAAGUAGACCGCCUGGGG